CUACGGGAGGCAGCAGUCGAGAAUAGUCUACAAUGGACGAAAGUCUGAUAGUGCGACGCCGCGUGGAUGAAGAAGCAUUUCGGUGUGUAAAGUCCUUUUCUGUGUGAGCAAUGUUUUCCAGGUUAAUAGCUUGGAGAAAGCGAUAUUAACACAGGAAUAAGCUCCGGCUAACUCCGUGCCAGCAGCCGCGGUAACACGGGGGGAGCAAGCGUUGUCCGGAAUUACUAGGCGUAAAGGGUAAGUAGGCGGAAUUGUAAGUCAGAUGUUAAAGGCACCGGCCCAACCGGUGUAUGGCAUUUGAUACUGUAAUUCUAGAGUAAGGUGGGGGAAGACGGAAUUCCUGGUGUAGCGGUGGAAUGCGCAGAUAUCAGGAGGAACACCAGAGGCGCAGGCGGUCUUCUAUACCAUUACUGACGCUCAAUUACGAAGGUGUGGGUAUCAAACAGGAUUAGAUACCCCCGUAGUC
rnacentral:rRNA from 1 species